rnacentral:rRNA from 1 species
AUUGAACGCUGGCGGCAUGCCUUACACAUGCAAGUCGAACGGCAGCACGGGUGCUUGCACCUGGUGGCGAGUGGCGAACGGGUGAGUAAUAUAUCGGAACGUACCUUAUCGUGGGGGAUAACGCAGCGAAAGCUGCGCUAAUACCGCAUACGCCCUGAGGGGGAAAGCGGGGGACCGUAAGGCCUCGCGCGAUUAGAGCGGCCGAUAUCUGAUUAGCUUGUUGGUGGGGUAAAAGCCCACCAAGGCGACGAUCAGUAGCUGGUCUGAGAGGACGAUCAGCCACACUGGGACUGAGACACGGCCCAGACUCCUACGGGAGGCAGCAGUGGGGAAUUUUGGACAAUGGGGGCAACCCUGAUCCAGCAAUGCCGCGUGAGUGAAGAAGGCCUCGGUGUAAGCUCUUUGUCUAGGAAGAAACGAGCAGCUCUAACACAGUCUGCGAAUGACGGUACC